AUCGCUGUUGCGGUGGAGUUUGUGGAGACAAGUUUCGAAGAACAUCAUAAUCUCCAUCCAUGUACUACUUUUCAGUCAGUAAGUACGAUAUGGAUUUGUCUACAAAGACAUCAACGAACACCAAUGUUUUUAAACAAUAUGCCCGACACGCAGUGCAAUGCCUUUACGGAAGUUACAUAUAAAAAAACCAUGACCACACUAAAUUGUUCGGCAGGAUGUACAAUGCUAAGUUUUCUGAAGUAAAAGUUGUGUGAUUUACUAAGUAGCCUCAGUUUGUUUUUCUUAAUUUUUCUUUGCUUAAUGAUUUUUAUGUAUGGCUAACGGCUAUGAAACGUGUACUUAACUUCGCUUCCAUUAACUUUCUUCCACAUUAUCCUUUUUGUUCUGUUGUAUCAGUUUGGUACUCUGACGGCUAUGGAGGAGAUAUAAAUUUCUUGAAACUUUAUUCUGUAAAUGAAAUUAACUACUGUUAGUGAUGCAGUACGGUUCCCUUACCAUCUCUCAUGUUGGAUUAGCCACUUUUUUUUAGUCAAUUAAUUUCCCAUUGAAGUUUUAUAUUGGUGUAUUUGCAGAUCAGCUCGGUACAAAAACUGAUCACUUCGUUCACAAACAGAUGGCAGUAGUGGAUCUAUAAUCUUACACAUGCAAGGUCCAUUUUACUGUUACUUGAUUAGUAUUUUCAGUACUUUUGUUGUAUAUUUUGCAAGAAAUCUCAUUCUCUUAGUUUUUCGGAUAAGGUGAAUCGCGAUGUGGGUUGUUCCAUUGUGCAAUACUGGCAGGUUUCAAUAUUUUUAUCAUACAAUGGCGCCACAAUAACACUUCAAGAGAAUUUGGUAGUUUGUCUAAAAAGUGAGCCAAUGGAAUUUGUUUAAUGUUUUCUCAUCAGUUCCUCUUCUUUUUAAAGUUUGAGUACGCUAAUGAAAUUACUACUGGAGGCAAAUGUAUGUAGAGUUCCAUGCACCCAUCCACAAAUACCAUAAUUAUAGUUAGUUUUUGUCCGCUCCGUGUAUUUCGAGUAAAACGUUUCUUUUUGUUUUUUUUGCGUUUCUUUUUGUUUUUUUGUUUCCUUCUAUUCGACUACAUCAUCGGCCCAUGAAUACUCGGGGAAUAAAAGCCAUACAUUAAAAUGAUGAGAACAUCAACUAGCAUAUCUGGUAUAUGUUCAAGAGUGAUUAGGAUGCAUAUGUAGAGUAUCACGACUCAAGUUCGAUGCAAUAAUGUCGUUAUAAAGUUGUAACACGCAAUGG